GUCUACGGCCAUACUACCCUGAACGCGCCCGAUCUCGUCUGAUCUCGGAAGCUAAGCAGGGUCAGGCCUGGUUAUACUUGGAAUGGGAGAACCGCCUGGGAAUACCAGGUGCAAUUUUUG
rnacentral:rRNA from 1 species